rnacentral:tRNA from 1 species
AGCUCAGUUGGUAGAGUGCCUGCCUUGCAUGCACAAGGCCCUGGGUUCAAUCCCCAG